rnacentral:lncRNA from 1 species
UCUAUUUUCAAUAUCUGAAUAAACAAGGAAACUAUAAUCUCCUCCUUCACCUUAUCGGUCUCUUCCUUACAUCAAUUCAGUCAUACCAAUAACUGCUAUUUCUACCAAUAUAUUCACCCUCAUAAUCUCUAACUAUAAUACUGCACCCUCACAACUUUCAACACACAAUUACCCUCAUUCCAAUUAUUAGAAUUCUUCACACAAAACUGUCAUUCACAUUACAGUGUUUCACACAAAUACAGAUUCAUUCUCUCUAUUGAAGUACAAUCAGAUUUUAGCAUUCAAUCUUUCUUCUUCACAAAUAAUACCAAUCACAUUUUCAUUCCAUAAUUUACUUCACAAUAUUCAGAAACUCUCAAUCCUCUUAUUCAAAGAAAAUAACAAACAAAAGAAAAGAGGUAGCACCAAGCUUAUCCCGGCUCACACUAUCACAACGAUGGCACCUUAAUUAACUUCUA